rnacentral:rRNA from 1 species
UACAGAGGUCCCAAGCGUUGUUCGGAUUCACUGGGCGUAAAGGGUGCGUAGGCGGUCGGGUAAGUCUGAUGUGAAAUCUCACAGCUUAACUGUGAAACUGCAUUGGAUACUAUCCGGCUCGAGGAAUGGAGGGGAGACUGGAAUACUUGGUGUAGCAGUGAAAUGCGUAGAUAUCAAGUGGAACACCAGUGGCGAAGGCGGUGGUCUGGGCCGGAACUGACGCUGAGGAGCGAAAGCGUGGGGAGCGAACAGG